CAGUAGCCACGGGAAUACGGAGGGUGCAAGCGUUAUCCGGAUUUAUUGGGUUUAAAGGGUCCGUAGGCGGAUCUGUAAGUCAGUGGUGAAAUCUCACAGCUUAACUGUGAAACUGCCAUUGAUACUGCAGGUCUUGAGUAAAUUUGAAGUGGCUGGAAUAAGUAGUGUAGCGGUGAAAUGCAUAGAUAUUACUUAGAACACCAAUUGCGAAGGCAGGUCACUAAGAUUUAACUGACGCUGAUGGACGAAAGCGUGGGGAGCGAACAGGAUUAGAUACCCCAGUAGUCCCUGUCUCUUAUAA
rnacentral:rRNA from 1 species